AUAUCAUUAAGCGGAGGAAAAGAAACUAACAAGGAUGCCCCUAGUAACGGCGAGUGAAGCGGGCGAAGCUCAAGUUGAAAAUCGGGGCCUCUUUGGGGUUUCGAAUUGUAGUCUAGAGACGCAGCGUCAGCAAUAGCCCCUGGUAUAAAUCUUUUGAAACAAGGUGUCAUAGAGGGUGAGAACCCCGUCCAUGACUCGGUGUCGGUUGCGUACGCUGCGUGUUCAAAGAGUCGGGUUGCUUGGGAUUGCAGCCCUAAGUGGGUGGUAAACUUCAUCUAAAGCUAAAUAUUGGCGAGAGACCGAUAGCGCACAAGUA
rnacentral:rRNA from 1 species